UUGGAGGGCAAGUCUGGUGCCAGCAGCCGCGGUAAUUCCAGCUCCAAUAGCGUAUAUUAAAGUUGUUGCAGUUAAAAAGCUCGUAGUUGAAUUUCGGGAUCAAUUUAUUGGUCGUGCCAACGGUACGCACUGGUACAAUUGGUUUCUCCCUUCUGACGAAGCAUGAUGUCAUUAAUUUGAUGUCGUGGGGAAUCAGGACUGUUACUUUGAAAAAUUAGAGUGUUUAAAGCAGGCUUUGGCUUGAAUACAUUAGCAUGGAAUAAUGAAAUAGGACGUUUGAUCUUAUUUCGUUGGUUUCUAAGAUCGACGUAAUGAUUAAUAGGGAUAGUUGGGGGCAUUAGUAUUCAAUUGUCAGAGGUGAAAUUCUUGGAUUUAUUGAAGACUAACUACUGCGAAAGCAUUUGCCAAGGAUGUUUUCAUUAAUCAAGAACGAAAGUUAGGGGAUCGAAGACGAUCAGAUACCGUCGUAGUCUUAACCAUAAACUAUGCCGACUAGGGAUCGGUUGAUGUUAAUUUUUUAAUGACUCAUUCGGCGCCUUACGGGAAAC
rnacentral:rRNA from 1 species